rnacentral:rRNA from 1 species
UACGUAGGGUGCGAGCGUUGUCCGGAAUUACUGGGCGUAAAGAGCUCGUAGGUGGUUUGUCGCGUUGUCCGUGAAAACUCACAGCUUAACUGUGGGCGUGCGGGCGAUACGGGCAGACUGGAGUACUGCAGGGGAGACUGGAAUUCCUGGUGUAGCGGUGGAAUGCGCAGAUAUCAGGAGGAACACCGGUGGCGAAGGCGGGUCUCUGGGCAGUAACUGACGCUGAGGCGCGAAAGCCAGGGGAGCAAACGGG